rnacentral:rRNA from 1 species
AACGAACGCUGGCGGCAUGCCUAACACAUGCAAGUCGAACGAGACCUUCGGGUCUAGUGGCGCACGGGUGCGUAACGCGUGGGAACCUGCCCUUAGGUUCGGAAUAACUCCCCGAAAGAGGUGCUAAUACCGGAUAAUGUCUUCGGACCAAAGAUUUAUCGCCUUUGGAUGGGCCCGCGUUGGAUUAGCUAGUUGGUAGGGUAAAAGCCUACCAAGGCGACGAUCCAUAGCUGGUCUGAGAGGAUGAUCAGCCACACUGGGACUGAGACACGGCCCAGACUCCUACGGGAGGCAGCAGUGGGGAAUAUUGGACAAUGGGCGAAAGCCUGAUCCAGCAAUGCCGCGUGAGUGAUGAAGGCCUUAGGGUUGUAAAGCUUUUUUACCCGGGAUGAUAAUGACAGUACCGGGAGAAUAAGCACCGGCUAACUCCGUG